rnacentral:rRNA from 1 species
GAUGAACGCUAGCGGCAGGCUUAACACAUGCAAGUCGAGGGGCAGCAUAAAUAGUAGCAAUACUAUUGGUGGCGACCGGCGGACGGGUGCGUAACGCGUAUACAACCUUCCCUAAACAGGGGGAUAAUCUGGGGAAAUUCGGUCUAAUACCCCAUAACAUCAGAGCAGGCAUCUGUUUUGGUUAAAAUUUCCGGAGGUUUAGGAUGGGUAUGCGUAGCAUUAGCUAGUUGGUGAGGUAACGGCUCACCAAGGCGACGAUGCUUAGGGGGACUGAGAGGUUAACCCCCCACACUGGUACUGAGACACGGACCAGACUCCUACGGGAGGCAGCAGUGAGGAAUAUUGGUCAAUGGGCGGAAGCCUGAACCAGCCAUGCCGCGUGCAGGAUGACGGCUCUAUGAGUUGUAAACUGCUUUUGUACGAGGGUAAAGUGGGCUACGUGUAGCCUUUUGAAAGUAUCGUACGGAUAAGGAUCGGCUAACUCCGUGCCAGCAGCCGCGGUAA